rnacentral:rRNA from 1 species
CCUACGGGAGGCAGCAGUGAGGAAUAUUGGUCAAUGGCCGGAAGGCUGAACCAGCCAUGCCGCGUGAAGGUCAGUGCCCUAUGGGCGUUAAACUUCUUUUGUGCGGGAGCAAUAAUGGUCACGUGUGGCCAGACGAGAGUACCGUACGAAUAAGCAUCGGCUAACUCCGUGCCAGCAGCCGCGGUAAUACUGGGGAUGCAGGCGUUAUCCGGAUUUAUUGGGUUUAAAGGGUGCGUAGGCUGUGAGGUAAGUCAGCGGUGAAAUGCCCCGGCUCAACGGGGUGAAGUGCCAUUGAUACUGCCUUGCUGGAGUGCGGAUGCCGUGGGAGGAAUGUGGGGUGUAGCGGUGAAAUGCAUAGAUAUCACACAGAACACCGAUUGCGAAGGCAUCUUACGAAGCCGCGAUUGACGCUGAGGCACGAAAGCGUGGGGAUCAAACAGGAUUAGAUACCCGAGUAGUC